rnacentral:rRNA from 1 species
UCCGGUUGAUCCUGCCGGACCUGACUGCUAUCGGAUUGAUACUAAGCCAUGCGAGUCAUUGUAGCAAUACAAGGCAUACGGCUCAGUAACGCGUAGUCAACCUAACCUAUGGACGGGAAUAACCUCGGGAAACUGAGAAUAAUGCCCGAUAGAACACUAUACCUGGAAUGGUUUGUGUUCCAAAUGAUUUAUCGCCAUAGGAUGGGACUGCGGCCUAUCAGUUUGUUGGUGAGGUAAUGGCCCACCAAGACUAUUACAGGUACGGGCUCUGAGAGGAGUAGCCCGGAGAUGGGUACUGAGACACGGACCCAGGCCCUAUGGGGCGCAGCAGGCGAGAAAACUUUGCAAUGUGCGAAAGCACGACAAGGUUAAUCCGAGUGAUUUGUGCUAAACGAAUCUUUUGUUAGUCCUAGAAACACUAACGAAUAAGGGGUGGGCAAGUUCUGGUGUCAGCCGCCGCGGUAAAACCAGCACCUCAAGUGGUCAGGAUGAUUAUUGGGCCUAAAGCAUCCGUAGCCGGCUCUGUAAGUUUUCGGUUAAAUCUGUACGCUUAACGUACAGGCUGCCGGGAAUACUGCAGAGCUAGGGAGUGGGAGAGGUAGACGGUACUCGGUAGGAAGGGGUAAAAUCCUUUGAUCUAUUGAUGACCACCUGUGGCGAAGGCGGUCUACCAGAACACGUCCGACGGUGAGGGAUGAAAGCUGGGGGAGCAAACCGGAUUAGAUACCCGGGUAGUCCCAGCUGUAAACUAUGCAAACUCAGUGAUGCAUUGGCUUGUGGCCAAUGCAGUGCUGCAGGGAAGCCGUUAAGUUUGCCGCCUGGGAAGUACGUACGCAAGUAUGAAACUUAAAGGAAUUGGCGGGGGAGCACCACAAGGGGUGAAGCCUGCGGUUCAAUUGGAUUCAACGCCGGA